UACCAGCGCCCCGAGUGGUCGGGGCGAUUAUUGGGCCUAAAGCAUCCGUAGCCGGUUUUACAAGUCCCCCGUUAAAUCCAGCUGCUUAACAGAUGGGCUGCGGAGGAUACUAUAAGACUAGGAGGCAGGAGAGGCAAGCGGUACUCAGUGGGUAGGGGUAAAAUCCGUUGAUCCAUUGAAGACCACCAGUGGCGAAGGCGGCUUGCCAGAAUGCGCUCGACGGUGAGGGAUGAAAGCUGGGGGAGCAAACCGG
rnacentral:rRNA from 1 species